UAUGUGUUCCUGGCUGGCUUGGUACUCAUGUGUAGCCCAAGCUAGCCUCUAACUCAUGGC
rnacentral:pre_miRNA from 1 species